GCUGAAAAGAUUACUGAUGAAUCUGC
rnacentral:piRNA from 1 species